UACCAGCACCCCGAGUGGUCGGGACGAUUAUUGGGCCUAAAGCAUCCGUAGCCGGUUCUACAAGUCUUCCGUUAAAUCCACCUGCUCAACAGAUGGGCUGCGGAGGAUACUAUAGAGCUAGGAGGCGGGAGAGGCAAGCGGUACUUAGUGGGUAGGGGUAAAAUCCGUUGAUCCAUUGAAGACCACCAGUGGCGAAGGCGGCAUCCUGGACCGAGAUUGACACUGAGGAGCGAAAGC
rnacentral:rRNA from 1 species